AGCUGUCAGGGUGUGAUCCAAAACCCACUGAGGUCAUUAAGAGUCUUUCCACUGACUUCAAUAGACUUUGGAUCAGACCCUAAUACU
rnacentral:pre_miRNA from 1 species